UACGGGGGGGGCAAGCGUUGUUCGGAAUUACUGGGCGUAAGGGGCUCGUAGGCGGCCAACUAAGUCAGACGUGAAAUCCCUCGGCUUAACCGGGGAACUGCAUCUGAUACUGGAUGGCUUGAGUUCGGGAGAGGGAUGCGGAAUUCCAGGUGUAGCGGUGAAAUGCGUAGAUAUCUGGAGGAACACCGGUGGCGAAGGCGGCAUCCUGGACCGACACUGACGCUGAGGAGCGAAAGCCAGGGGAGCAAACGGG
rnacentral:rRNA from 1 species